UUUCAGUGCAGCACAGUCUUUCCAGUGAACCAGCAUGAACAGCAGCAGGACCCUGGCUCUGUUAGACCUGAAUGGAAUGGAACCUUAUUUAAUGUCAUUGCUCCUGCUCUGAUAAAAAGGCUCAGUUGGUGCUCAGCUACACUUGAGAAUGGACAAGAUGUGUGACUCUGAACAUGGUACAAUGACUGGUGCUGGAUGUUCCAGUUCCAGCAUCUCUGAACAAACAUACUGGCAAGUUGGUACCACAGUAUCAAGAAUUUUCAAAAAAAAAAAAAAAAAAACACUAAAAGGACCAGGCAGUGGCA